rnacentral:rRNA from 1 species
UACGGGGGGGGCAAGCGUUGUUCGGAAUUACUGGGCGUAAAGGGCUCGUAGGUGGCCAACUAAGUCAGACGUGAAAUCCCUCGGCUUAACUGGGGAACUGCGUCUGAUACUGGAUGGCUUGAGUUUGGGAGAGGGAUGCGGAAUUCCAGGUGUAGCGGUGAAAUGCGUAGAUAUCUGGAGGAACACCGGUGGCGAAGGCGGCAUCCUGGACCGGUAUUGACGCUGAGGCGCGAAAGCUAGGGGAGCAAACGGG